GUGUUCGGCCAUAGAAAGAUGAAAAUUUCGCAUCCUGUCCACUCUCUGGUAAACAAGCAUCGUAUUGACUGGUUAGUACUACAGUGGGUGACCAUGUAGGAAUCCCAGUUGAUGAAUUCU
rnacentral:rRNA from 1 species